UAUGCACUUAUCACUAUAUUUCAUACACUUGCACACAAACACUUGGAUUUUUUCAUACAAUUUCACACGUUCACCUUUUUAUACACUUGCACACUUGCACUUUAGCCAUCAUUUGCAUUAAUCGACCUCUAUAAGGUUUUCCUUUAUUGGCCGCCACAAUUCAUGUGGUUGGGACCAAAAACCUUACAAGAGACAUUUUAGAAUGUAGGUUUGCAUUUUUCCUUCAUUGUACAUUCAUGUAGUGCAUCCAAAUGUAAUAAAUUCU
rnacentral:lncRNA from 1 species